UACGAAGGGGGCUAGCGUUGUUCGGAAUUACUGGGCGUAAAGCGCGCGCAGGCGGCCUUCCAAGUCAGUGGUGAAAGCCCGGAGCUCAACUCCGGAACUGCCAUUGAAACUGUUAGGCUUGAGGACGAGAGAGGUGAGUGGAAUUCCCAGUGUAGAGGUGAAAUUCGUAGAUAUUCGCAAGAACACCAGUGGCGAAGGCGGCUCACUGGCCCGAUACUGACGCUGAGGCACGAAAGCGUGGGGAGCAAACAGG
rnacentral:rRNA from 1 species